rnacentral:rRNA from 1 species
GAUGAACGCUAGCGGCAGGCCUAACACAUGCAAGUCGAGGGAGAAGCCCUUUCGGGGGCAGAAACCGGCGCACGGGUGCGUAACGCGUAUGCAACCUACCUUUCACAGGGGGAUAGCCCGAAGAAAUUUGGAUUAAUACCCCAUAAUAUUAUUGGAUGGCAUCAUUUGAUAAUUAAAACUGCGGUGGUGAAAGAUGGGCAUGCGUCCUAUUAGCUAGUUGGAGUGGUAACGGCACCCCAAGGCUACGAUAGGUAGGGGUCCUGAGAGGGAGAUCCCCCACACUGGUACUGAGACAGGGACCAGACGCCUACGGGAGGCAGCAGUGAGGAAUAUUGGUCAAUGGUCGGAAGACUGAACCAGCCAGGCCGCGUGCAGGAAGAAUGCCUUAUGGGUUGUAAACUGCUUUUAUAUGGGAAGAAUAAGGCGUACGUGUACGUUGAUGACGGUACCAUAUGAAUAAGCAUCGGCUAACUCCGUG